CCGGGGGAGGCAGGUUUCAGUUUCCACUGAGAGCGGCCCCAGGUGCAAGAGGGUGAAGAAACUAUGCAGAAAAGGGUGGAGGCUGUGGAGGGCUUGGUCGAUGACACAGCUGGGGUUCUAGGGGAUGCAGUGGAAGGGUGGGGGGAGGUUAGCUUAAGUCAAAUCAGGGGAGGAAGAGCCACGAGGGGGAGAGAAUGUGGUGAUGGUGGAUGACCUGGAGGUUCGCCUCCAAGGAGACUAAGGUGGAAAGGGUCCUGCCGCAUGGGGCAACUAUGCAGAUGGUCUUUUAGGGAAAGUGGGGAAUCAAUUCUAGUUUUAGCUUCCUUUUUAGGAUGGGCUGCUUCAGAAGCUUAUAGGGAGGGAGGACUGCCGUUAAAUCCUCUGAAGGUGGGUCAUGGUGGUGGGGAAAGUGGUCUAAGGAGACCCUCAGGGCUCUGGAGUUCUCUCUUAAGCAGACUGAUUGCUCAGGUGUGUCCAGCUCUGGAGGCUAUUGCGUGUCCAGUGUGGUGCUGGCUCCUAUGUGUACAGACACUGUCUUGUGGGAAAGAUUGUCAAGAGAGGACACGUCACCCUUGGAGGGAGAGCCAACUGUUGCAGGGGACUGAAAAGAAGAUUCACAAGAUUCAGCAGAUUCAAAAGAAAAGCUUUGGGGAACUGGGAUGCUCUGUGGACCUUGGGAGCUAGAACCAGAGUGUAUGAAACAUGGUUAAUUAUCAGCUUCACAUGGAACCUCCCUAACCUGGAGAUUCUGAACAAAGCAGGGGCUUCCCUGGGGGCACAGUGGUUAAGAAUCUGC